GACUGUACUGCAAACCGACACUGGUGCGCGAGAUGAGUAUUCUAAGGCGCUUGAGAGAACUCGGGAGAAGGAACUCGGCAAAUUGACACCGUAACUUCGGGAGAAGGUGUGCCUUUAGUAGGUGAAGGGAUUUACUCCUGGAGCCCAAUGAGGUUGCAAAAAAUCGGUGGCUGCGACUGUUUAUUAAAAACACAGCACUCUGCAAACACGAAAGUGGACGUAUAGGGUGUGACGCCUGCCCGGUGCUGGAAGAUUAAAUGAUGGGGUGCAAGCUCUUGAUUGAAGUCCCAGUAAACGGCGGCCGUAACAAUAACGGUCCUAAGGUAGCGAAAUUCCUUGUCGGGUAAGUUCCGACCUGCACGAAUGGCGUAACGAUGGCCACACUGUCUCCUCCCGAGACUCAGCGAAGUUGAAAUGUUUGUGAUGAUGCAAUCUCCCCGCGGAAAGACGGAAAGACCCCAUGAACCUUUACUGUAGCUUUGUAUUGGACUUUGAACAGAUCUGUGUAGGAUAGGUGGGAGGCUUUGAAGCAGGGUCGCUAGAUCUUGUGGAGCCAACGUUGAAAUACCACCCUGGUGUGUUUGAGGUUCUAACCUAGGUCCAUUAUCUGGAUCGGGGACAGUGCAUGGUAGGCAGUUUGACUGGGGCGGUCUCCUCCCAAAGCGUAACGGAGGAGUUCGAAGGUACGCUAGGUACGGUCGGACAUCUGCUAAUAGUGCAAUGGCAUAAGCGUGCUUAACUGCGAGACUGACAAGUCGAGCAGAUGCGAAAGCAGGACAUAGUGAUCCGGUGGUUCUGUAUGGAAGGGCCAUCGCUCAACGGAUAAAAGGUACUCUGGGGAUAACAGGCUGAUACCGCCCAAGAGUUCAUAUCGACGGCGGUGUUUGGCACCUCGAUGUCGGCUCAUCUCAUCCUGGGGCUGUAACCGGUCCCAAGGGUAUGGCUGUUCGCCAUUUAAAGAGGUACGUGAGCUGGGUUUAAAACGUCGUGAGACAGUUUGGUCCCUAUCUUCCGUGGGCGCUGCAGAUUUGAGGAAGCCUGCUCCUAGUACGAGAGGACCGGAGUGGACGCACCUCUGGUGUAUCGGUUGUCACGCCAGUGGCAUUGCCGAGUAGCUAUGUGCGGAAGAGAUAACCGCUGAAAGCAUCUAAGCGGGAAACUCGUUUCAAGAUGAGAUCUGCCGGGGCCUUGAGCCCCCUAAAGAGUCGUUCAAGACCAGGACGUUGAUAGGUCAGGUGUGGAAGCGCAGUAAUGCGUUAAGCUAACUGAUACUAAUUGCUCGUGCGGCUUGAC
rnacentral:rRNA from 1 species